rnacentral:rRNA from 1 species
AAUGAACGCUGGCGGCAUGCCUAACACAUGCAAGUCGAACGGAAGCACGGUGAGCGCUCGCCCCUACGGGUGGCGACGGGCGGGUGAGUCACACGUAUAUCCCAUACCUCUUUGACUGGGGUGAUAACGCGGGACCACAUACGCUAACCGCUCAUAUGUCGAACGGGAGUGAGCAAGGGAUCUAACGACCUUUGGUGACCCUAAGAGCCGAUGCCGCAUUAGCUAGUUGGGGGGGUAAAGGCUUACCAAGGCGACGAUGCGUAGCGGGGCUGACCGGAUGAUCAGCCACACUGGAACUGAGACACGGUCCAGACUCCUACGGGAGGCAGCAGUAGGGAAUAUUGCGCAAUGGGCGAAAGCCUGAUCGAGCAAUGCCGCGUGAGUGAUGAAGGUCUUCGGAUUGUAAAGCCCUGUUGUUAGGAAAGAACAGAAGUAGAUGAAUCCAUGGCUGUUUUGACGGUACCUAAAGAAUAAGCACCGGCUAACUACGUG